rnacentral:rRNA from 1 species
UACGGAGGGUGCGAGCGUUGUCCGGAAUCAUUGGGCGUAAAGGGCGCGUAGGUGGCCCCUCAAGCGUGCGGUGAAAGUCAGGGGCUCAACCCCUGAUCGGCCGUGCGAACUGGGGAGCUUGAGCACUGUAGAGGCAGGCGGAAUUCCGGGUGUAGCGGUGGAAUGCGUAGAUAUCGGGAGGAACACCUGUGGCGAAAGCGGCUCACUGGACCACAACUGACGCUGAGGCGCGAAAGCUAGGGGAGCAAACAGG